rnacentral:rRNA from 1 species
GACGACCGCUGGCGGCGUGCUUAACACAUGCAAGUCGAACGAAGUGGCGAACGGGUGAGUAACGCGUAAUCAACCUGCCCUUCAGCGGGGGACAACAGUUGGAAACGACUGCUAAUACCGCAUACUGAAGGAGGGGAUUGUGUCUGAUUAGCUAGUGGGAGGGGUAACGGCCCACCAAGGCGAUGAUCAGUAGGCUGUCUGGAGUGAUGAACGCACAAAUUUGGACGGAGACACGGCCCAGACGCCGACGGGAGGCAGCGUUGGGGAAUCUUCCGGAAUGGACGAAAGUCUGACGGAGCAACGCCGCGUGAGUGAUGACGGCCUUCGGGUUGUAAAGCUCUGUUAAUCGGGACGCGGUACCUGAAUAGAAAGCCACGGCUAACUACGUGCCAGCAGCCGCGGUAAUUC